rnacentral:rRNA from 1 species
AUUGAACGCUGGCGGCAUGCCUUACACAUGCAAGUCGAACGGCAGCACGGGGCAACCUGGUGGCGAGUGGCGAACGGGUGAGUAAUGCAUCGGAACGUACCUUUCAGUGGGGGAUAACGUAGCGAAAGUUACGCUAAUACCGCAUAUUCUGUGAGCAGGAAAGCAGGGGAUCGCAAGACCUUGCGCUGAUUGAGCGGCCGAUGUCUGAUUAGCUAGUUGGUGAGGUAAAGGCUCACCAAGGCGACGAUCUGUAGCGGGUCUGAGAGGAUGAUCCGCAAGACUGGGACUGAGACACGGCCCAGACUCCUACGGGAGGCAGCAGUGGGGAAUUUUGGACAAUGGGGGCAACCCUGAUCCAGCCAUGCCGCGUGAGUGAAGAAGGCCUUCGGGUUGUAAAGCUCUUUCGGUCGGGAAGAAAUCGCAUGGGUUAAUACCCUGUGCGGAUGACGGUACCGGCAUAAGAAGCACCGGCUAACUACGUGCCAGCAGCCGCGGUAACAC